GGAGAUGGGGGUGUGAGCAGGUGGGUCUGGGCAGGGUUAUGUAGUUGAUGGGGGUGUGAGCAGGUGGGUCUGGAGAUGGGGGUGUGAGCAGGUGGGUCUGGGCAGGGUUAUGUAGUUGAUGGGGGUGUGAGCAGGUGGGUCUGGAGAUGGGGGUGUGAGCAGGUGGGUCUGGGCAGGGUUAUGUAGUUGAUGGGGGUGUGAGCAGGUGGGUCUGGAGAUGGGGGUGUGAGCAGGUGGGUCUGGGCAGGGUUAUGUAGUUGAUG